GCCAUCUGCCAUGGCGGGUGGGUGAAAGAACCAAGCUAACAUGGGGGUAGCUCAUUAAAAAACAAUAAAGCCUCAUGCAGUUUGCAAUAAGCUCUGGAAUCUGCCUGGUGAUUGGGAUGACUGAGGUUGUGGCCUGGGACCCCGGAUACCUGAGUUUUUCCGGGGAUCUAACAUUUGGGGGCUUGUCCUCGAUUUGUGACCACCCCUCACCUGAGUGGAUUCGAUCUUGGAGGUAAGAUGAUUCGAGCUUGCAACUUAUAUGUUCAAUGUCCCUUGCUGUUUUGUUGGUUUGGUGCCAUGACUUGAAUUUGCUGUUUUGUUGGUUUGGUGCCAUGACUUGAAUUUGCUGUUUUGUUGGUUUGGUGCCAUGACUUGAAUUUGCUGUUUUGUUGGUUUGGUGCCAUGACUUGAAUUUGAUCUGAGCCUGCACAGGACUCGUAUUUGUAAUUUGUACUGGUAUUUGGAAUUUGGAAUUUGGACCUCAGGGGGAAACGGAUGUGUUUCGAGACCCAGAGAUCCCGCCCUGGACGAAAGUCCGAGGGUUGUUUGUAAUUUUGAUUGGGGCACCAUUCCUCUGCCUCGCUGUUUGUCUUGUCUGAUGUCUGUCCUGUUUUUGCUGUUUGUGUCUGUCUCUGUACUAACCACCCCAUCCUUGGAUUCCACCUCAACUGUGAUCGGCAGAUGUGCCAGGAGGAUUACAGACUGCUGCUCUGAGGACACCCAGCAGGAUCCACCACGACACCCCCUUUCGUUGAGUCACGUGGCACCACACUAGGUCUGUGAGGCAUGAGAAGUGGGUCUGUAUCUGCCCCAGCUGCCAUCCUGCCGUGGGUCCUGGCUUGCAGCAGGAGUUUCCCUGCUCUGAGGGAACAUGACUGCAAGGCCACCAUCUGCCUGGCUGCCUGGCCUUCUCUGUGCUCCACACACACGGU
rnacentral:lncRNA from 1 species